rnacentral:rRNA from 1 species
GUGGGGAAUUUUGGACAAUGGGCGCAAGCCUGAUCCAGCAAUGCCGCGUGUGUGAAGAAGGCCUUCGGGUUGUAAAGCACUUUUGGCAGGAAAGAAAUAGCGCGUGCUAAUACCAUGCGCGAAUGACGGUACCUGCAGAAUAAGCACCGGCUAACUACGUGCCAGCAGCCGCGGUAAGACGUAGGGUGCAAGCGUUAAUCGGAAUUACUGGGCGUAAAGCGUGCGCAGGCGGUUUUGUAAGACAGGUGUGAAAUCCCCGGGCUCAACCUGGGAACUGCACUUGUGACUGCAAGGCUAGAGUGUGUCAGAGGGAGGUGGAAUUCCGCGUGUAGCAGUGAAAUGCGUAGAGAUGCGGAGGAACACCGAUGGCGAAGGCAGCCUCCUGGGAUAACACUGACGCUCAGGCACGAAAGCGUGGGGAGCAAACAGGAUUAGAUACCCCUGUAGUCC